UCCUACGGGAGGCAGCAGUGGGGAAUAUUGCACAAUGGGCGCAAGCCUGAUGCAGCGACGCCGCGUGAGGGAUGACGGCCUUCGGGUUGUAAACCUCUUUCAGUAGGGAAGAAGCGAAAGUGACGGUACCUGCAGAAGAAGCACCGGCUAACUACGUGCCAGCAGCCGCGGUA
rnacentral:rRNA from 1 species